UACGUAGGGGGCAAGCGUUGUCUGGAUUUAUUGGGCGUAAAGAGCGUGUAGGCGGCUAGGUAGGUCCGUUGUGAAAACUCGAGGCUUAACCUCGAGACGUCGAUGGAAACCAUCUAGCUAGAGUCCGGAAGAGGAGAGUGGAAUUCCUGGUGUAGCGGUGAAAUGCGCAGAUAUCAGGAAGAACACCCGUGGCGAAGGCGGCUCUCUGGGACGUGACUGACGCUGAGACGCGAAAGCGUGGGGAGCAAACAGG
rnacentral:rRNA from 1 species